rnacentral:rRNA from 1 species
GACGAACGCUGGCGGCGUGCUUAACACAUGCAAGUCGAACGGAAAGGCCCUGCUUUUGUGGGGUGCUCGAGUGGCGAACGGGUGAGUAACACGUGAGUAACCUGCCCUUGACUUUGGGAUAACUUCAGGAAACUGGGGCUAAUACCGGAUAGGAGCUCCUGCUGCAUGGUGGGGGUUGGAAAGUUUCGGCGGUUGGGGAUGGACUCGCGGCUUAUCAGCUUGUUGGUGGGGUAGUGGCUUACCACGGCUUUGACGGGUAGCCGGCCUGAGAGGGUGACCGGCCACAUUGGGACUGAGGUACGGCCCAGACUCCUACGGGGGGCAGCAGUGGGGAAUAUUGCACAAUGGGCGGAAGCCUGAUGCAGCAACGCCGCGUGCGGGAUGACGGCCUUCGGGUUGUAAACCGCUUUCGCCUGUGACGAAGCGUGAGUGACGGUAAUGGGUAAAGAAGCACCGGCUAACUACGUG